GAUGAACGCUGACAGAAUGCUUAACACAUGCAAGUCAACUGUGGCGGACGGGUGAGUAACGCGUAAAGAACUUGCCUCACAGCUAGGGACAACAUUUGGAAACGAAUGCUAAUACCUGAUACUGUGAGAGAGCUUUGCGUCCCAUUAGCUAGUUGGAGAGGUACCGGCUCACCAAGGCGAUGAUGGGUAGCCGGCCUGGGAGGGUGAUCGGCCACACGGGGACUGAGGAACGACCAGUAGUCCAUCGGGAGGCAGCAGCGGGGAAUAGUGGACAACGGGCCAAAGUCUGAUCCAGGAAUUCUGUGUGCACGAUGAAGUUGUCGGAAUGUAAAGUUCUUUCAGUUGGGAAGCAGUACCAACAGAAGAAGUGACGGCUAAAUACGUGCCAGCAGCCGCGGUAAUUC
rnacentral:rRNA from 1 species